CCCUUAGAUGUUCUGGGCCGCACACGCGCUACACUGAAGGAGGCAGCGUGUACUCCUGGAUCGAAAGAUUUGGGUAACCCGCGAAUCUCCUUCGUGCUAGGGAUUGAGGUUUGCAAUUAUCCUUCAUGAACGAGGAAUUCCCAGUAAGUGCAAGUCAUAAGCUUGCGCUGACUACGUCCCUGCCCUUUGUACACACCGCCCGUCGCUACUACCGAUUGAAUGAUUUAGUGAGGACUUCGGACUGGGACCGAUUCGGCUUUCGGGCUGCGUCGGUAUUCUGGAAAGAUGUCCAAACUGUAUCAUUUAGAGGAAGUAAAAGUCGUAACA
rnacentral:rRNA from 1 species